GCGCGAAAACUUUACAAUGCGAGAAAUCGUGAUAAGGGAACCCCGAGUGCCCGUAAAUUCGGGCUGUCCGCCAGUGCAAAUAGCUGGUGAAGAAAGGGCCGGGCAAGACCGGUGCCAGCCGCCGCGGUAAUACCGGCGGCUCGAGUGGUGGCCACUAUUACUGGGCUUAAAGCGUCCGUAGCUUGAUUGUUAAGUCUCUUGGGAAAUCCACCGGCUCAACCGAUGGGCGUUCAGGAGAAACUGGCAAUCUAGGGACCGGGAGAGGUGAGAGGUACUCCAGGGGUAGGAGUGAAAUCCUGUAAUCCUUGGGGGACCACCUGUGGCGAAGGCGUCUCACUAGAACGGCUCCGACAGUGAGGGACGAAAGCUGGGGGAGCAAACCG
rnacentral:rRNA from 1 species